UUUUUUUUUUGCACCAUAUGAUCAUAGACUAUGAAUUUUAUAAAUUAUUAUAUUUGUUAUAUUUAUUUCAGAUCCAGUCUAUGUCUGUGAUUUGGCCGCACUUUACAUUUCAGAUUACGGAAACGGUGGGACAACGUUUCUUGUUUGUGAUUGGACAGUCGUUUGUUUGCGUCUGGCGUCGGCACAGUCAGCGGCUGUAGACCCGGAAGUGAUGGUCCGCCAUUUUCUGCUUAAUGGAAGAUGCCCACACACGCUCCCGAAAUGCGUAUGGUUUGCGUCGCGUAUAGUUUUUCAAAUCAAUCAAACCGAGAAGCCACGGGAAGUUUUUAUCGAGUCUUACCAAUGAUGUUGUUUUUGACGGAGAAUAUGCAAGAAAGUGACCGAAAAAACGCCGAGAGAAGCGGUUUAGCCUUCAUCUGCGGUCGGAGGAGCGGAGGGGGAUAUUCCGCAGGUGUGCAGUGACCGCCUCACUAAAGGUAAGACUGAGCUGCUGCAGUGUUAUUAGAGAGGAGAGGACAGGAUGAAGUCCAGAGACCAUCAGCACAGACUCAGAGAAGGUUCACAGGCCUCAGUGGAUCUUCAUGAGUCUGAGACGUUCAGGAUCCACCAGUUGCCACACUGCUGAGACAGAUGAGGUGAAUCUGAACCUGAGAGCUGGAGAACAUGUUACACCGGUCCAGACCUUCAGCUGCUGCCGUCACCUCCUCCUCCUGCAGAGACACAACAACAUGUUAAUGACACAAACUGACUCAGAAACCUGAUUCUCCUACUCUGAACUGUCUUUACUCCUUCGUAUUUAAUUACAUUUUGCUGAUAAAAAUUAAUCAACUAGUUUUCUACAAAUCAGUGGUUUGUUUUCUUUCUAAAGCUCCAAGAGUCCUGACGUUAAACAUAAACUAACAGUAUUAUAAAUAGAAUUAAGAAAGGAGAAGACUAAUUAUAUCUAUAAUACGUCAGGACUAUUUAAGCUUCAGAAAGAAAAAACAAACCACUGAUUUGUAGAUUGGCUGUUUUGUUCCCUGAUGUGUUUUUAAAAGAAAUAAAUUC